rnacentral:rRNA from 1 species
UACGUAGGGUGCAAGCGUUGUCCGGAAUUAUUGGGCGUAAAGAGCUCGUAGGCGGUUUGUCGCGUCUGCUGUGAAAACUCGGGGCUUAACUCCGGGCCUGCAGUGGGUACGGGCAGACUAGAGUGCGGUAGGGGAGACUUGAAUUCCUGGUGUAGCGGUGAAAUGCGCAGAUAUCAGGAGGAACACCGGUGGCGAAGGCGGGUCUCUGGGCCGUAACUGACGCUGAGGAGCGAAAGCGUGGUGAGCGAACAGG